rnacentral:rRNA from 1 species
GACGAACGCUGGCGGCGUGCCUAACACAUGCAAGUCGAGCGGAGCUAGUAGCAGUAUUAGCUUAGCGGCGGACGGGUGAGUAACGCGUGGGCAACCUGCCUUCUACAGGGGGAUAACACAGGGAAACUUGUGCUAAUACCGCAUAACAUACUUAAGGGACAUCCCUUGGGUAUCAAAGGAGCAAUCCGGUAGAAGAUGGGCCCGCGUCCGAUUAGCUAGUUGGAGGUGUAACGAACGACCAAGGCGACGAUCGGUAGCCGGACUGAGAGGUUGAUCGGCCACAUUGGGAGUGAGACACGGCCCAGAAUACUGCGGGAGGCAGCAGUGGGGAAUAUUUCGCCAGGGGGGAAACCCUGACGCAGCAACGCCGCGAGAAAGAUGAGGAUCUUCGGAUUGUAAACUUCUUUAGUCGGAGACGAAGAAAUGACGGUACCCGAAGAAUAAGCCACGGCUAACUACUUGCCAGCCGCCGCGGUAA